rnacentral:rRNA from 1 species
CCGGAGCUUGCUCCACCGGAAAAAGAAGAGNNGGNNNNACGGGUGAGUAACACGUGGGUAACCUGCCCAUCAGAAGGGGAUAACACUUGGAAACAGGUGCUAAUACCGUAUAACAAUCGAAACCGCAUGGUUUUGAUUUGAAAGGCGCUUUCGGGUGUCGCUGAUGGAUGGACCCGCGGUGCAUUAGCUAGUUGGUGAGGUAACGGCUCACCAAGGCCACGAUGCAUAGCCGACCUGAGAGGGUGAUCGGCCACAUUGGGACUGAGACACGGCCCAAACUCCUACGGGAGGCAGCAGUAGGGAAUCUUCGGCAAUGGACGAAAGUCUGACCGAGCAACGCCGCGUGAGUGAAGAAGGUUUUCGGAUCGUAAAACUCUGUUGUUAGAGAAGAACAAGGAUGAGAGUAACUGUUCAUCCCUUGACGGUAUCUAACCAGAAAGCCACGGCUAACUACGUGCCAGCGAGCCGCGGUAAUACGUAGGUGGCAAGCGUUGUCCGGAUUUAUUGGGCGUAAAGCGAGCGCAGGCGGUUUCUUAAGUCUGAUGUGAAAGCC